ACCCGAUCUACUCUAGAUAGAGUGAGGUAUUGGCUUUAGGACGCGUAAGCGAUCUUUAGCUUGAAUGUAUUAAGGCUGAUGAGUUCCCAAUGGUGGCCUCAAUGUGUGCUAGCGGACAGAUGUUUCGAUGUCACAUUGACGGCUCCAAUGCAAGCUCUAUAAACGGCCUCCUGCUGGUUCUGUGGGAGGAGGAGGAAAGGGGGACGGCGACAUGGUCAAACAUGCCGUCAUCACCAUCUCAUCAUCAUCACAGCAGGAUCAGAUCAUCUA
rnacentral:misc_RNA from 1 species